UACGGGGGGAGCAAGCGUUGUUCGGAUUUACUGGGCGUAAAGGGCGCGUAGGCGGCCACCGCAAGUCGGUUGUGAAAUCUCUGGGCUUAACCCAGAAAGGUCAACCGAUACUGCGGGGCUAGAGUGCAGAAGGGGCAACUGGAAUUCUCGGUGUAGCGGUGAAAUGCGUAGAUAUCGAGAGGAACACCUGCGGCGAAGGCGGGUUGCUGGGCUGACACUGACGCUGAAGCGCGAAAGCUAGGGGAGCAAACGGG
rnacentral:rRNA from 1 species